GUGCUCCUUUUGGCAGCACAUAUGCUAAAAUUGGAAUGAUACAAAGAAGAUUAGCAUGCCCCUGC
rnacentral:snRNA from 1 species